rnacentral:lncRNA from 1 species
GUGCUCUAACUAACAUCGUACUAAGAAUUGCAUUUUUCUCUCUCCUGACUUAGAUUUAAAUCUUGCAAUCACUGCUGGGAAGUGAGCUGUAUCAUCUUGAGAAAUCAGACCACAGAGACGGGCCUGCAGCUGGCAGGCUGGGUCAUCUUUAAUCGCUUAACCCUUCAUAUCAAAGGAUGGCUUGUAGCAGCAGAUUCCUUCUCCAGAAUUUGCCAUGGCAGAUUUUCUCAAGGAAAAGCUGUCUAUGGACAACGAAGCUCCUCUGUGCAACUGGCUGUGCUGUGGAACCAAUCUCA